GUGUGUGGAUACAGAUUGGAAUGAGUACACAAGUAAAAACUACAGACAUUAAAAAAGUCGCAGCAGCGAUUUUGCAUGUUGAAUUUUAGUUGUUUCUUGUAAAUAGGUUUUGUUGAUAUGUAUAAGAAGAGUAAAAGAUUUUGUGUACAUGUUGACGGGUUCAACCUGAAACUGAUCCGUUAUCGUUUAUAAAAUGCCAUUUUCAUCCCUGAGGUUUGACUAGUU
rnacentral:lncRNA from 1 species